GACGAACGCUGGCGGCGUGCUUAACACAUGCAAGUCGAACGAAGUGGCGAACGGGUGAGUAACGCGUAAUCAACCUGCCCUUCAGAGGGGGACAACAGUUGGAAACGACUGCUAAUACCGCAUACUGAAGGAGGGGAUUUCGUCUGAUUAGCUAGUGGGAGGGGUAACGGCCAACCAAGGCGAUGAUCAGUAGCCGGUCGGAGAGGAGGAAUGGCCAAAUUGGUACUGAGACACGGCCCAGACUCAUACGGGAGGCAGCAGUGGGGAUGCGUCCGCAAUGGACGAAAGUCUGACGGAGCAACGCCGCGUGAGGGAUGACGGCCUUCGGGUUGUAAAGCGCUGUUAAUCGGGACGCGGUACCGGAAUAGAAAGCCACGGCUAACUACGUGCCAGCAGCCGCGGUAAUUC
rnacentral:rRNA from 1 species